CUCCACCGCCUGCUUGUUUCGCCAUGCCCGGGCCGGACGGUGGGGCUGCAGCGGCGAAAGCGACUGAAGUCCGGGAGCAGUCGCAUGAGCUUCCCGGUCACCAGGAGGCCCCGGGAACAGACACCUCACCCUGACAUUGUGGCAGGAACUUCUGGAUUGCUUUCCAAAGUGGCUGCACUGUUUUCUAUCCCCACUGGGCAGGAAAACAUCUAAGAAAGGAGGCUCCCCCCUUCCCUUGCAGGGUUACCAGCAAUUAAAAAGAAGUACUAGAGAGGCAAAUAUCGGCAGUAUACAUCUAAGCGCUGGUCGGAAAAGAAGGAACUCAGCCCAAGAACUUGCCCAAUCUGAUACUGGAGGUGCCACUCAAGAACCACUCCCUCCAAGAUGUUUUCCUGGAUUUCCUCAGCCUAAAGUAAUCCCUCUUUUUCCUGGCUAUACCAUCUGGAACAGAUGACUUCCAAGGACACCGUAGCAAAGAAAAAGAGAACUGGAAGCCCAUGUGCCUUAAUCGCUUCAUCCUAGAGGGCGCAGCAGUCUGGAAAUAGAAACAAUGGUGGUGGAUCAAUUCAAUUGAUCCAGAUUUGGAAGUUGCGUGGCAAGUGAGAAGGAUUUGGAUGGUAAUGAUGAAUGUGUUUCUCACAAACUUGGGGGCCCAUCUGGGAUCUCUGUGCCUGCGUGGAGUUGGACUCCAGCCAAGAGGGGAGAGGCGUCCCACCUGAUUUAAGUGGCCUGCUCUGUCUGGGAAUCCCGGCUCCCUGCAGAGGCCAUAGACAAACCUGAGACUGUUAUUCAGGAGGCAGUGGAGGUGACACAGGGAGAAAAGCAGGCACCGUGGCAACCAGGCAACCUCAUGUACGAGCCAAGGAGAAGAAGCAGCAGACACCAAUGCAGGAUUGGUCUUCCACUUCCAGUCUGGACAAGAUAGCAUAGACUCAUUUCUCCCUGCUUCUCCCAGAUGGAGUCUUGCUCUGUUGCCCAGGCUGGAGUGCAGUGGCACGAUGUUGGCUCACUGCAACUUCUGCCUCCCAGGUUCAAGCGAUUCUACCACCUCAGCCUCCCGAGUAGCUGAGACUACAGGGAAACUUGACUGAGAGGAAGAGAAAGCUAAAGAAGUAUCAAAUUCCUCUCUAAGACAUCUUCACUAGUCUUCCAGAACAUCUCCGCCUUGGGAAGCAGAACUCUGAGGUCCAGGAAGACCUUCCGACCAAUCCACUGAGACAUUGCUACGGCUGCCUCCUCUUCACUUUCUGGCCUCUUGAGCCAACAUCCAACAUGAUCUUCAUGAGAGGUUGCCGGUUACCUUUCUAAAAACGUAUUUGACCAGAUUUCUUCAUGAUAUUUCAAAAUGUAAAGGCAGAAAACAAGUUAAACUUUAAACAAAUUUAAAUUUAAACAAUCUAAAAGGGAAUUUAAGUAAGCGUAUGACUUUGUUGCAGAGGUUCUAGGCUUCCUUUUUUACAAAAGGAUGGGAAAUUUUAAAGCAACUGCUCUGACUAACCCAGAAAAAUCUUUCUUUGUUUAUCUCCUUUGUAUUUAGCCCCAAUAUCUGAGAAAAUUUUAAACAUAGUUUUUUUUUCUAGGAUUGGUGCCUAAGGGUCAUUCCCUUACGAAAACCCUAACUUUUUUUACACCUUUGUUGAAUGAAGGAGCUGGUGGAAGUUCAAAUUUGUGUGUUAACAUGUGACUUCAAUUAGAGUCUGAAGAUGGCCACUUGUUAGUAAUCUCACACUGCAUCAUUUUAAAAAAACACAGCAUUUUUGUUCUGGUGAAGAGAGAGGCACUGGAAUUCAUCCCCAUUGUCCACUCCCCACCCAGUGUAUUUUACAGAAAUUCUUAACAAGUUUAAUAGUGUGCUAUUAUAACAUAAUUGCAGCAUUACACCAGAAGCAUUAUCAACACUAAGUAUUCUCCAAUUUAGAAUGCAUGAAUAAAGUCUCUAAAACUCUU
rnacentral:lncRNA from 10 species